ensembl:lincRNA
CUCCGAUCUUCUCAUGGCAUCCCUACAAACAUCACUCAUUUAUUAUAAUCCUCCACACUGCCCUCAAGUUUUAUUUACAGUUAAGAAUUUGGAUGUGGCACUGAAUGAUUCAGUUCUUAGUCUCGCUGUGAUGACAUCAGAUGAUCCUCACUUUGAAUAUUUUCCUCGGGCUUUUGGAAAAUAAUUGUAUGUUAUCUUAAACAUAUCCAGAGGAAGCUUCUUAGACACAAAACAUAUCCAAGGUUGUGUAGUAGAAGUGAGGCACUCUAUCCUUAGCACAGUAAAAGUUGCUUUUGUAAACUGGAAAUCAAAGAAUGCUUAAAAUAGAAACAGAAAACCACACAUACUCAUCAGACAAUAGACUGAUGCACAAGCUGAAUUUUUCUUCUUCUUCUUUUUUUUUUUUUCUUUCCAGUACCAGGGAUCCAAUUCACGACCACCUGCUUGCAAGGCGGAUACUUAUGCUGCUGAGCUAAAUCUCCAGUCCCCAAGCUGAAUUCUUUAAAAUAGCUUUUCAGUGAGACAGGCUGGUGAAGACCAUGAAGCCGCAGAAGCUCAGAGCCACUGGAAAGCUUUGAAGAUGGCAGAAUUGAGGAGCAAAUAUAUCCAGCUUCUAGCAGAUGUACAAGCCCAGCCAGGGAUUUUACAGAUGCUAACCAUGUACUUACCGCUAAGCUACACUCCCAGUCCUAACCUAAUUUCUUUUGCACCUUUGGUCACACUGUCAAUCAACAGCAGAGGAGGAUUUAAACACAAGAGCUUUGCACUCCAUGGUGUACAGUUCAACAAUCUUGUUUUAGUAUAUACUAUACUUUCCUACCCACAUCUCAGAUUAUUCCAAGAUGGUGGCCAAGAAUUCCAGAUCUCCCCUGAUUAUCCUGGUAAAGGAAAAAUUGUCUGAUGUCAUAAAUGUAAUUACUAGGGUGUGCACUGAGAAUAUACUUCAGGGGUAGAGUAUUUUCCUCAUAUCCGUGAAGCACUGAAAAAAUGGCUGGCCUCAAACUUUUAAUUCUCUGCCUCAGACCCCUGAAAAGUUUGGAUUUUGUCCCUUGAGCACAAAAAACUAAAACUAAAAAAAAUUUAAAAAAAGAGAAGCCACUAUACUUACAAAGGUCCAAAAAUGGAGAGUGAAAGAUACGUGAAGUUAAUCAGUUAACUUAUACAGAUAAAGCCCAGAAAAAGACUAUUUUGAAACCAGUUAAAAUUCUAUGGAGCCAGCGGCAGUUGUGGAUCAAGAGCAGAAACAAGAAGCCAAUCUGUGCCGUACUGUGAGCCAGUGGCAGCCACAUCCUCCUGUGAGCCAGCGACAGUCGUGGCUGGGAGAAGAACCAAGAAGCCAAGCUGUGCCCUCUUGAGAGGCAGCUGGCAUGUAGACCAGGAGACAAGAAGAGCCUAUCCCCUUCAAGCAGCCAGCUGAUUCAGAGAAACAUAGGAUGAGAUGAUAGCAACUGAAAUUAAUAAGAACUUAAAGCUUAUAUAGUUUGAUUUACUUUGCAAGCCUAAAGCUGGUAGUCUGAGCAUCUAUUUAGAGGAUAACAAUUGUUUGAUUGAUUUUGCAAGCCUAAAGCGGAGCAUCUAUUUAAAGGACAACAACAUGCAGUAUAGUAACUACUGUAGAUUUCCUACCGCCUUAUCGCUGUUUUGAUGUUUUAUUGCUCUGUUUUAUUCCCUUUAAAACUAAAUAAAACAUAUACAAAUAGCAACUAUGGAGGAUUUCCUUGUUUUGUUUUUGAAAU